rnacentral:tRNA from 2 species
GGGGGUAUAGUAAAACAGGUAUUACGCAGGGUUUGCAACCUUGUAUUAUGAGUUCAAGUCUCAUUACCUCCA